AUUGCGAAGGCAGCUUUCUGGAUCAUUACUGACACUGAGGAACGAAAGCAUGGGUAGCGAAGAGGAUUAGAUACCCUCGUAGUCCAUGCCGUAAACGAUGUGUGUUAGACGUUGGAAAUUUAUUUUCAGUGUCGCAGCGAAAGCAAUAAACACACCGCCUGGGGAGUACGACCGCAAGGUUAAAACUCAAAUGAAUUGACGGGGACCCGCACAAGUAGUGGAGCAUGUGGUUUAAUUCGAAGAUACGCGCAGAACCUUACCAACACUUGACAUGUUCGUCGCGACUCUAAGAGAUUAGAGUUUUCGGUUCGGCCGGACGAAACACAGGUGCUGCAUGGCUGUCGUCAGCUCGUGUCGUGAGAUGUUGGGUUAAGUCCCGCAACGAGCGCAACCCUCACUUUUAGUUGCCAUCAUUUAGUUGGGCACUCUGAAAGAACUGCCAGUGAUAAGCUGGAGGAAGGUGGGGAUGACGUCAAGUCCUCAUGGCCCUUACGUGUUGGGCUACACACGUGCUACAAUGGUAUUUACAACAGGAAGCAAGAUGGCGACAUUAAGCAAAUCCUAAAAAGAUACCUCAGUUCGGAUUGCACUCUGCAACUCGAGUGCAUGAAGUUGGAAUUACUAGUAAUCGUGGAUCAGCGUGCCACGGUGAAUACGUUCCCGGGUCUUGUACACACCGCCCGUCACACCAUGGGAGUUGGUUCUACCUUAAGGCAAAGUUUAAAACCUUUGACCACGGUAUAGUCAGCGACUGGGGUGAAGUCGUAACAAGGUAGCCGUAGGGGAACCUGCGGCUG
rnacentral:rRNA from 1 species